CUUUUUCAGUUAUAGCAGGGCAAAGAGUAGGUAUCUAAGAGGGAAUGAUGAGCAUGCAUCUCACAUUCUCACCCCUCAUUAUCAUCUUAUUUCUGCUUCUGAAGCUGGUUCUAUGGUUUCUUUGUUUACCAAUCCUAUUUGGCUUGUAAAAACACGGCUUCAGCUCCAAACUCCUUACCAUGGUUAUCGGACCUAUUCGGGAUUUUUCGGUCAGAUGCUUUGAAGACCAUUUUAAAAGAGGAAGGAUGGCAAGCACUUUAUAAAGGGAUUGGACCAAGUCUUCUGCUUAGCUAAUUCGACUAUGCUGCUCUUGGGGCUUCCUCUAAACUUGUCGCUAUCCUAUUCACAUAUCCAUAUCAGGCAAGCUGUUCAAGAUUUGUUAUCUUCUUUCUAGAUUUUGUGUUUUGUUUGCAAUGACAUUAACCUGAACUCGAUGCCUUUACUCACAAGCUAGCUUCCUAACUGAUUGUGGUUCAGUGGUUGUCUCAUCGUAGGUUAUUCGAUCUCGGUUACAGGUACUUGAUGCUUUCUUUCAUAAUUGCCAGACCAAUUUCUUUUUCCUAUGCCCAUCUAAUUUUGGAUGUUGAAAAGUUAUAUUUUCUAUACAUUUUAAUAUAUGAGCAAUACAAUCAGCUUUCCCUUGUAUCCCAAUUAAAUAUUUUUUGUAUAUUGCAGCAAAGACCUAAUAUCAAUGGAACCCCAAGUAUUCAGAUAGUUGGCAUUAGGGGUGAGCAGUCAAUCCGCCAAACCGACCAACCCGCUUAUACCGACCUGAACCGAACCGAAAAAAAAUGAUCCGUCGGAUAUAGGGCCGGAUGUAGGGUCCUAAUAUUGCAUUAUCUGAUCUAGUAGGGCCGGAUAGUGUUUUAUCCCAAUAACCGAACCAACCCGAUCCGAUCACCCCUACUUAUAGCAACUAAUGUUGAUAAGCUGUUAUACGUUGUAGUAAUUACUACCGAUAAACUGCUACACGUUGUAAUAGUUAUUUCCGAUUAGCUGCUAUAAUGUGU